UACGUAGGGGGCAAGCGUUGUCCGGAAUCAUUGGGCGUAAAGAGCGUGUAGGCGGCCCGGUAAGUCCGCUCUGAAAGUCCAGGGCUCAACCCUGGGAUGCGGGUGGAUACUGCCGGGCUCGAGUCCGGAAGAGGCGAGUGGAAUUCCCGGUGUAGCGGUGAAAUGCGCAGAUAUCGGGAGGAACACCAAUGGCGAAGGCAGCUCGCUGGGACGUGACUGACGCUGAGACGCGAAAGCGUGGGGAGCAAACAGG
rnacentral:rRNA from 1 species